GACUAAAAAGCCUAGUGGACAUGGCAUCUGCCCGGUAAGAAGAACACUGUGGGUUUGAUUCCCAUCUCUAGGCA